GAACCACGGUAGAGCUAACUCAAGACCUUCUUCCUGUGCGGUAACGGUGCUAACCACUGUGCCGCCCGCAUAAGAGGAGAGCCACUGAGGGAACGCCUUCCGCCCUUCCGACGCCUCCACCGUGACUCCACUUCUGAGAGGAAUUGCCUACAGAUCAAGCAUGGAGUGUGCCUGAAUGGACAUACAGAACUCCAAGGUUCGGCCCGGUGUUGAGGGUUUUCCCAAAGGUGAGGGCCCGGCGGGCGGUGCCUCACAGCCCUCCGCCUCUGGGAGUGGCCCAUUUCUACUAAGGAGGCAAGAGGUGGCCAGGAGUCUGUCAGCGAGUUCUGCAUGUCCUGGUGACCCUCCACCUGUUUCACAGUGUCACAGGGGAACUCGAGCCUAUCCCAGCUAUCUUAGGGCGAGAAGCAGGGUACACCCUCCACAGGUCACCAGUCUGUUGCAGAGCUAACACAUAGACACAGAAAACCAUUCGCACCUGUGGGCGAUUUAGACUUUUCAACUAACCUCUUGCCACUAA